CCUACGGGUGGCAGCAGUCGAGAAUCAUUCACAAUGGGGGAAACCCUGAUGGUGCGACGCCGCGUGGGGGAAUGAAGGUCUUCGGAUUGUAAACCCCUGUCAUGUGGGAGCAAAUUAAAAAGAUAGUACCACAAGAGGAAGAGACGGCUAACUCUGUGCCAGCAGCCGCGGUAAUACAGAGGUCUCAAGCGUUGUUCGGAAUCACUGGGCGGAAAGCGUGCGUAGGCUGUUUCGUAAGUCGUGUGUGAAAGGCGCGGGCUCAACCCGCGGACGGCACAUGAUACUGCGAGACUAGAGUAAUGGAGGGGGAACCGGAAUUCUCGGUGUAGGAGUGAAAUGCGUAGAUAUCGAGAGGAACACUCGUGGCGAAGGCGGGUUCCUGGACAUUAACUGACGCUGAGGCACGAAGGCCAGGGGAGCGAAAGGGAUUAGAUACCCGGGUAGUC
rnacentral:rRNA from 1 species